ACGAUCUGCUGAGGGUAGCCCUACUUCGCCUCGAUUU
rnacentral:rRNA from 1 species